rnacentral:rRNA from 1 species
GACGAACGCUGGCGGCGUGCUUAACACAUGCAAGUCGAACGGAAAGGCCCUGCUUGCAGGGUGCUCGAGUGGCGAACGGGUGAGUAACACGUGGGUGAUCUGCCCCUUACUUUGGGAUAAGCCUGGGAAACUGGGUCUAAUACUGGAUAGGACCAUGCUGUAGGUGGUGUGGUGGAAAGAUUAGUUUCGGUAAGGGAUGAGCUCGCGGCCUAUCAGCUUGUUGGUGGGGUAAUGGCCUACCAAGGCGUCGACGGGUAGCCGGCCUGAGAGGGUGGGCGGCCACAUUGGGACUGUGAUACGGCCCCGCGUCCUACGGGCGGCCGCAGUGGGGAAUAUUGCACAAUGGGCGAAAGCCUGAUGCAGCGACGCCGCGUGGGGGAUGACGGCCUUCGGGUUGUAAACUCCUUUCAGCCAUGACGAAGCCCUUGUGGUGACGGUAGUGGUAGAAGAAGCACCGGCUAACUACGUG